AAUCUGAUGCUGUGGGCAUCCGUUGCACAACUUGUUGAACAUUUCCCAAUAAUCGUACAAUGAUUCUCCAGAGUACUGCUUGAUGCUACAUAUUUCCUUUCUCAGACU